rnacentral:misc_RNA from 1 species
GAGAAAAAGUGAUACUAAAGGAAGUGGAGGUGUGAAAGGUAAAAAUUGGAAGUAGAAGAGUUAUGAUGAAUGAGUUCAAAAAGAGUUGUGAUAAAGAAGUGUAGCCUUCAGUUCGUUGUGGGCAUAGUUUUAUUUGAAAGUUGUCUUCUCCUUGGCAUUUUUGCACAAGCUCUGGAAUUCCAAAAUUUUCGAAGAUAUUGCGUAGUUACUGAAACAACAAGAUCAAUACUGUUAAAGAAAGGACAGCACAGUUUUAUUGAAAUCUUCGGGGUUCUUUUCUGAUUUACAGGAGGACGACAUUCUUUGUACGUAACACAUAGCUGAGGCAGAUUGUAACAUUGAAUGUAUUUAAUAUGGAG